ensembl:miRNA gga-mir-199b gga-mir-199b
UUUUUAGGACUUUGUGUACUACUGACUUCUCUCUCUAUCAGUAGUCUGCACAUUUGGUCCCAAGAG